rnacentral:rRNA from 1 species
CCUACGGGAGGCAGCAGUGGGGAAUAUUGGACAAUGGGGGGAACCCUGAUCCAGCCAUGCCGCGUGUGUGAAGAAGGCCCUCGGGUUGUAAAGCACUUUCAGUGAGGAAGAACGCCUGGUGGUUAAUACCCAUCAGGAAAGACAUCACUCACAGAAGAAGCACCGGCUAACUCCGUGCCAGCAGCCGCAGUAAUACGGAGGGUGCGAGCGUUAAUCGGAAUUACUGGGCGUAAAGCGCGCGUAGGUGGCUUGAUAAGCCGGUUGUGAAAGCCCCGGGCUCAACCUGGGAACGGCAUCCGGAACUGUCAAGCUAGAGUGCAGGAGAGGAAGGUAGAAUUCCCGGUGUAGCGGUGAAAUGCGUAGAGAUCGGGAGGAAUACCAGUGGCGAAGGCGGCCUUCUGGACUGACACUGACACUGAGGUGCGAAAGCGUGGGUAGCAAACAGGAUUAGAUACCCCUGUAGUC